AACCGCCGGCGGCGGAAAAGGGAAAAACAAGGCGCGGCGCAGGGCCCUGGGCAACGCGGGUUUCACCCGCCCAGCGGCGGGGCCUCGGGGCGCCGCUCGUAAAGAUUCGCCAAGGGGUGGUUAACAGUUUUGCUGGAACAAGCGCCCGUGCAGAUCCUGCUUCCAGAACCUGCCCCUGGAACCCGCCUCUGGAGCCCACCCUUCAGAACGUCCAAAACCCACCCCAAGAACCUGCUGCAGAACUCGCCAGUACAAUCUGCUUCCCGAAUCAUCUUACUUUCACAGCCCGCUUCUAGAACUGACUUGCCUCCGGGACCAGCCUGCCUGCAGAGCCGGCCUGCUUCCAGAAUUGGACUCUUUCCGUGCCCUGCUCUCCUGGUGGGUUUGCCCCAGCGUCUGGCUCCUUUCCUGACUUCUCCAGGUAUGGUGACUCUGGAACACACUCGUUUCAUGCCCGGCUCACCUCAGGGAAGAACACACCCCUUGUAGGGGCAGGAACACCAGAGCAUAAGCAGUAACGCAGCUAAUCUUUAUCACGUUGCCCUAAAGUUCCAGCCUUGCCAUCUUCGCCAUCACCUGGGUUCCUGCCACGCCUCCGGUCUUCCCCACAGGCUCGCUUGAUCCUGCAAAUCCUGUGAGCUGAGCUGCUUGGGCCGCCCUGGCCAUCUGCAACAAUAACUACGAAAUAAGGGAAUCGUUAACUCCCGGGAAAAUAAAAAAUACCCAGAGACGUA